GGAAAUCUCUGGGACUUUUAACUUUGAAUGCGGUUAUUAAAAGUGAUGAAUUCUUUUACUUUGUAAAUUUUGUUUUUUCAGGUUAAGCGUGUAAAAAGGAUGGCUUAUUAACCGCUAUUGUAAUUCUUUAUUCUAAGUCAAAUUGUCUUAAGCCGCAAAAGUAAGAAACAAAAUUAAAUGUCAAAAAUUGAUCUCAUCAAUAAUAUUAUCACCGGUUGUUUUAUCUCUUUUAACAAAUAGCUUCUUACAACAAGUUACCCCGUGCUCUUCCUGGCUUUGAACUACAUGUAAAAUGGAUAAAGAGGAUUGUUGUGGGCAACAAAAUGAAAGGAAAGGUGAUACACAAUGAAGGGAGAUCACAAUGAAGAGAGACAUAAUCCUGAAAAAGAAACUUAAAGGAAAAUUAUUACUGAGCAAUUGGGAUACAAAUUUAAAAAGUGCAAGAACGCCCGCGUGGUCUUAAUACAAAAACCCGAUAUCGCUAUAUUCUAAUAUACCUAUGUACAAUAUAUUGUUAAAAACAAUAAAUACAAAGUUAAAUCUAACAAA